AAGUCGUAACAAGGUUUCCGUAGGUGAACCUGCGGAAGGAUCAUUACAACACCCUUUUUUAUUAAUUAUUAAUUUUUAUUAAUUAAUAAUUAUAAACCCACUUUGUUGAACCUUUAUCUUAUUUUGUUAUGAAUUAUUUUUGUUAUGAAUGGGAUUUUCUUUUUUUUUUCUUACAAAAAAAGAGAAGAUUUCCAUUUUCAUAUCCAAUCUUAUCUUAUUAUCUUAUAUUAUCUCUUUAUUUUUCUUUUUUUCUUUUUUGGAUCUUCAACUUUUGUUUUGAAGUAAACAAAAAAAACAAAAGAAAACUAUGGAUAAUUCUGUUAAAAAACAAAACAAAAAACUAUUAUAAAUCUAAACAAUUUAUAAUAAUAAAUAAUAUAAUAUGAGAGUACAACUCUUAACAAUGGAUAUCUAGGCUCUCGU
rnacentral:misc_RNA from 1 species